GACGAACGCUGGCGGCGUGCUUAACACAUGCCAGUCGAACGGUGAAGCGCCUUCCUUUUUGGUGGGUGUGGAUGAGUGGCGAACGGGUGAGUAACACGUGAGUAACCUGCCCCCUUCUUCUGGAUAACCGCAUGAAAGUGUGGCUAAUACGGGAUAUUCUGGGUCUGUCGCAUGAUGGGUCUGGGAAAGAUAUUGUUUCGGUGGGGGAUGGGCUCGCGGCCUAUCAGCUUGUUGGUGGGGUGAUGGCCUACCAAGGCGGUGACGGGUAGCCGGCCUGAGAGGGUGGACGGUCACACUGGGACUGAGACACGGCCCAGACUGCGACGGGAGGCAGCAGUGGGGAAUAUGGCACAAUGGGCGAAAGCCUGAUGCAGCGACGCCGCGUGAGGGAUGGAGGCCUUCGGGUUGUGAACCUCUUUCGCCAGUGAAGCAGGCCUGCCUCGUUUGUGGGUGGGUCGACGGUAGCUGGAGAAGAAGCGCCGGCUAACUACGUG
rnacentral:rRNA from 1 species